AGAGCGAACGCUGGCGGCAGGCUUAACACAUGCAAGUCGAGCGGGCGUAGCAAUACGUCAGCGGCAGACGGGUGAGUAACGCGUGGGAACGUACCUUUUGGUUCGGAACAACCCAGGGAAACUUGGGCUAAUACCGGAUAAGCCCUUACGGGGAAAGAUUUAUCGCCGAAAGAUCGGCCCGCGUCUGAUUAGCUAGUUGGUGAGGUAAUGGCUCACCAAGGCGACGAUCAGUAGCUGGUCUGAGAGGAUGAUCAGCCACAUUGGGACUGAGACACGGCCCAAACUCCUACGGGAGGCAGCAGUGGGGAAUAUUGGACAAUGGGCGCAAGCCUGGUCCAGCCAUGCCGCGUGAGUGAUGAAGGCCCUAGGGUUGUAAAGCUCUUUGUGCGGGAAGAUAAUGACGGUACCGCAAGAAUAAGCCCCGGCUAACUUCGUGCCAGCAGCCGC
rnacentral:rRNA from 1 species